rnacentral:rRNA from 1 species
UACGUAGGGUGCGAGCGUUAAUCGGAAUUACUGGGCGUAAAGCGUGCGUAGGCGGUUCGUUAAGUCAGCUGUGAAAGCCCCGGGCUCAACCUGGGAAUUGCGGUUGAAACUGGCGAACUAGAAUCUGGCAGAGGGGGGUGGAAUUCCACGUGUAACAGUGAAAUGCGUAGAGAUGUGGAGGAACACCGAUGGCGAAGGCAGCCCCCUGGGCUGAGAUUGACGCUCAGGCACGAAAGCGUGGGGAGCAAACAGG